CAUUCUUUGAUUCUAAAACGGCAAGAAAAUGUCACAAAGUUUAAUCUUAGACCCGUAAACCGAAGUGCUCUGUAUUUGUCCACACUGAGCCGAACGCUGAGGUAAUUGCAAGGUCGGCUGCGCUUCGUCGCCCUUUUUUCUAAACUGCAAAUCUUUCACUGCGACUCCGUUUCAAUUCAUCGCGCCACUCGAAUGCGAGGAGCGUAAACACCGCUCCCGGGCGAAAGCAGUAAAGUGGAAACGAGACGCCGACUGCGAGACUGACACGCUAUUUGUGUGUAAAUGAGACAUGACAGACGCGUGAGACGUGGAAGUGGAAGGCAGCGGUGUGCACGCCGGUGAGUCAAAACAAGUGUCCAGGCAGGAUCCGAAAAUCCGGGGAGUCCAGGAUCUGCUCGCCUCGGCGGUACCACCUGACCUGCAGAGGCGGGCCCCCGCGGACCCUGCACUCCAGAACCACCGCCUGACCCUCGGACGCCUGGGUGUCCUGCAGCAGCUGAGCCGAGUCGAUCCUUCGGCGCCGGACAGCGACAACAGCGGACUCUGCAUCUAAAAGGGACGCACAGAAAAUUGCUGAGCGCCAGGCCCGGGGAGGCCAUUUUGCAGCGCGGCGGCGGACAAUCACCCGUUGCGGAGGCUGCGACAGCGACUGGACCAGCGUGGAGCGGGGAGGUGAGCAGGGGAACGAGGCAGAAAAAGAUGACGUACAGAGGCAUACUUCCCGAUCGGGACUUCGACGGCCAGCCUUCUCCGUCGGAGUCGGAUGACGACGCUCCUGAAAUCAGACGACAACAAUUGCAACACACUUUUGGGUUUGCGAUUGGUCAGCGUUAUUUCCUCCAUCAAUCAAGCGAGUUGUUCACGUCGUCGAGCAAUUGUGGUUGUUUGAAAUAUACUACGCUAUUCCCUCACUGUAUUGCAGUACACCUAUCAAUGCACAGAAUUCUUUUUUUUUUUUAAAUCAGGUUCAUAUCGCGCAUAAUUCACCCUAUGGUGGGAUUUUGAGUCACUGCUGUAAUUUUUUUGGGUGUUGAAAAAAAAAACCAACAAAACAUUACAACACAUAACGAGGA